rnacentral:rRNA from 1 species
GAGAGUUAAACAGUACGUGAAAUUGUUGAAAGGGAAACGAUUGAAGCCAGUCGUACCUUCGGGUAAUCAGCCUUUCGGGUGCGAUUCUGUGGAGUGUGAGGAGCUUAAACACCUUCAUGUUUUGCAUAUUCGUACUCUUGGGUGUACUUGUCCGUGUGGUUGGUUAACAUCAAUUUUGGUGGUCAUAAAAUGACUGGGGGAAUGUAGCUUCGAUCUUGUAUUGAAGUGUUAUAGCCUUCGGUAGAUGUGAUGAUCGAGAUUGAGGAUUGCAACGGAUACCCUUUGGGGCUACCUGUCUGAUCUCUGAUCGUUGCUUUGGUGCCGAAAGCUUGCUUACGGUCAUUUAAGUUGACGGUCAAAAGGUUAGAACGUGAUUACAUUCGUUAAGGACGUUGGCGUAAUGGCUUUAAACGA